rnacentral:rRNA from 1 species
GUCUACGGCAAUGCCACCCUUAACAAGCCUGAUGUCUGAUCUCGGAAGCUAAGUAAAGUCAAGCCUGGUUAGUACUUGGAUGAGAGACCACCUGGGAAGACCAGGUGUAGGUGUAAAUA